rnacentral:misc_RNA from 1 species
GUUCAGUCUUCCCAGGCCCACCACUUUCAUCGAGUGAGCAUUCGUCUUCUGGUUACGGGGCCAUAGCUCAGCUGGGAGAGCGCGUGCUUUGCAAGCAUGAGGUCGUCGGUUCGAUCCCGUCUGGCUCCACCAGAUGGUUUGAUCACCGAGAUCUUGUACCGUCGUCCGCGAAACAUCACUUCGCAUCCUGCUAGUCUGGAUAGACAGCAAGAUGCGUGUUUUCUGACAUCGUAAAGAGGAGAUCGAUCCGAGUUGGGUCGUGCAGCGGAUUGUUGCGCGAAUCCUUCAUUAUCUCCGGAUCAUUUUCGGCGCUCGCUUUCAGCCGUGAGGUUGAAUGCGAGUUGUAAAAUGAUCCUUUUAGCGAAGCUUGACCGCCUCGCUAUCGGAACGAUCUUACGAAGCAAGCUGGUCUUUCUAGUCAAUGUCCGGCUGUGCGUAGCGUUCAUCGAGGGCGCGUGCCGUAAGGCAAUCGUACAGACAACAUUCUGCCGAGUGUGUGGACAUUGAUAAUGAGAGCAAUCAAGUGCCUUAAGGGUGUUCGGUGGAUGCCUUGGCGCUGAGAGGCGAUGAAGGACGUGCUACGCUGCGAUAAGCCGUGGGGAGCUGCGAAGAAGCUUUGAUCCGCGGAUUUCCGAAUGG